rnacentral:misc_RNA from 1 species
AAUUGAAUAUGAUGAUGUCUCUAUGUCACUUUUUCAAAUCAUCAUAGUUAAUUCCUAUUUAAAUUAUGAAGGAUCCAGUUGUUUUCUCUCUAUGUUAGUUUGCAUUGGAUGCAAUUGGAAUUUUUUCAAUCUUCUUGCAUAUUUCAUUGAUUGACUCUUCCUAACAAAUUUAUAUCAUAAAUAUUUGUUGAAAUCAAGUUAAAGCUAUGUUAUUUAUCAUUCCCAUA